GACAGAGGAUGCAAGCGUUAUCCGGAAUGAUUGGGCGUAAAGCGUCUGUAGGUGGCUUUUAAGUCCGCCGUCAAAUCCCAGGGCUCAACCCUGGACAGGCGGUGGAAACUACCAAGCUGGAGUACGGUAGGGGCAGAGGGAAUUUCCGGUGGAGCGGUGAAAUGCGUAGAGAUUGGAAAGAACACCGAUGGCGAAGGCACUUUACUGGGCUAUUACUAACACUGAGAGACGAAAGCUAGGGUAGCAAAUGGG
rnacentral:rRNA from 1 species